GCAGAGCCCCCGGCACUUGGCACCGGGGCGGAGGCAUCCAGAGCCCCAGCCGACCGCAGAGGGAACUGAAGUGGCUCCUUGCCAUGUGUCUCGGGGUUCCUACUUGGCCAUCUUUAAAUUCGAGGGCGCACCCCUGCCAUCGGAGGGAAGUGCGGUCAGGAGUCACGGACCCAGGCUUCUCCUGGCCGGGAAUCCAGGUGGCAGUGCCAGACUGAGAAAACAGUCCUGAACAGGCAUUAAUAUGGAACUGGCACUUGAGAACUAAUGGUGUUAGCUACAUUAAAAUGGAAGCAAAGGGCAAGAGGACAAUAAUGAAAGAAGAUAGCAGGGUUCAUGGAAGAUCAUUGUGUACCUGUUAUCAUUGGUUAGGCUGUAUUAUUACAUACUAUAAUGCAUCAGAUACUCUUUAUAUUUCUGUCAGGCACUCCUUUAAGUAAUCAUAAUGUAUUUGUUUUCAGACAUUCAGUAUUUUAUUGAAAAUGUAGUAUACUGCCAGUUCCCUACUCUUGUAAAGAUUAUACUUUCAAAGUCUUUUACAAAUUAAAGUAUAUGCUAAAGAUA